rnacentral:rRNA from 1 species
AUGUCCCGAAUAAACUAUGGUGUCAUUACCCUGAUCCCCAAAGUAGUUGGGGCGAUGGACAUUAGAGACUUUAGAUCUAUCAUAGUGAUUAACGUACUUGAGCGUGUUUUCUCGAAAGUUUGCGCGACCCGGCUAGCCCCUGUAGCGGAGCGGCUAGACCACCCCCUCCAGACGACAUUCUAGAAGGGGCGAUGGAUCCAUGAUGGGAUCCUGGCCCUCCGCGAGAUUGUCCAUGAGGUAAAGACGUGCGUCCAUAAAGGUGUCUUUCUCAAGUUGGAUUUCCAGAAGGCGUACGACCGCCUGGACUGGUCAUUCUUGCAGUUGGUGCUUCAACGAUGGGGCUUUGAUGACAGAAGGUGUUCACGGAUGAUGUAG